GCCUCUGGAUCUUGGUAAAGAGGAAGCUGGCUUAUACAAACUGUCUUGGGUGCCUUCUUCCCAUUCUCCCUCUCCUGGUUCUCCUUUUACUUCUGUGUGUGCUUUGUAUGAUUUUUGUAAUGAUGACAAUGUGUCUGACAGCAAAAAUGUUGGCUUGCCUCCAAUUGUAUAUAAUUCCAUUUGUAAUAAUGCUGUUACCACUGAUAUGAAUUACAUUUGGCAUUUAAGACUAG
rnacentral:lncRNA from 1 species